UACGAAGGGGGCUAGCGUUGCUCGGAAUCACUGGGCGUAAAGCGCACGUAGGCGGCUUUUUAAGUCAGGGGUGAAAUCCUGGAGCUCAACUCCAGAACUGCCUUUGAUACUGAGAAGCUUGAGUCCGGGAGAGGUGAGUGGAACUGCGAGUGUAGAGGUGAAAUUCGUAGAUAUUCGCAAGAACACCAGUGGCGAAGGCGGCUCACUGGACCGGUACUGACGCUGAAGCGCGAAAGCGUGGGAGCAACGGG
rnacentral:rRNA from 1 species